rnacentral:tRNA from 1 species
GCGCCCUUAGCUCAGCUGGAUAGAGCGACAGACUACGAAUCUGUAGGUCGGAGGUUCGAAUCCCCCAGGGCGCGCCA